AUAUUAUUUUAUUUUGGUUAAUAUUUUUAUUAUUAUUUUAUUUUACAUGUAAAUUUUUGUGUGAAUUAAUUUAAUUUUUAAAAAAUUAAAUUUGUUUAUUUAUUCGCAGUAAUUAAUAUUAAUUAAAAAAGAAAUUUUGUAUUAGUAAUAAUAUAUAGUAUUGGUAAAAUUUGUGCCAGCUACCGCGGUUAUACAAAUAAUGCAAGUAAAAAUUUUUAGUAUUAGUUAAAUUGUAAAAAUUUAAUAAUAUAAAUAUAAAUUUAUUAGGUGAAAUUUUUAAAUUUAUUUAUUUAUUAUUAAAAAAGAGUGAUUUAAGCUAUAAACUUUUUAUAAUAAACUAGGAUUAGAUACCCUAUUAUUGAAAAUAAAUAUUUAAAUACUAAAGUAGUAUUAGUUAUAUUCUUAAAAUUUAAAAAAUUUGGCGGUGUUUUAGUCUAUUUAGAGGAAUCUGUCCUGUAAUUGAUAAUCCACAUUGAACCUUACUUAAAUUUGUUUAAUUUGUAUAUCGCCGUCAUCAGAAUAUGUUAUAAGAUAAAAAUUUUCUUAAUAUUUAAUUAAAUAGAAUGUCAGGUCAAGGUGCAGUUUAUGUUUAAGUAGAGAUGGAUUACAAUAAAUUUAUUUAAAUGGAUAAUUUUUUGAAAUAAAAAUUUGAAGGUGGAUUUAAUAGUAAUAUAAAAUAGAUUAUUUAUAUGAUUUUAGCUCUAAAACAUGUACAUAUCGCCCAUCGUUCUUAUUUUUAAAAUAAGAUAAGUUGUAACAUAGUAGAUGUACUGGAAAGUGUAUCUAGAAAGAC
rnacentral:ncRNA from 1 species